rnacentral:misc_RNA from 1 species
AACGCAAAUUGCGCCCAAGGCUCCGGCUAAGGGCAUGUCUGCCUCAGCGUCGGCAUAUCCCAUCGCCUACAACACAAUUCUUGUGAGCGGAUUUGGCGGUCCCGAUCUGGGUCAGCCGAAUAUCAGCGGUAGCUGCCAGGACUCGCCUGUGUGCGUGGCUAUUCAGUUCGGUAGGUGACCCCAUGGUUGCAUGCCACUGUUGGCCAUUUUGGCCUGUUGCAGCUUUACCGACAGGACACUGAGGGCCUAACGGCACUCUUUAUUUCGACCUGAGGUCAGGCAAGAUUACCCGCUGAACUUAA